rnacentral:rRNA from 1 species
UACGGGGGGGGGCAAGCGUUGUUCGGAAUUACUGGGCGUAAAGGGCUCGUAGGCGGCCAACUAAGUCGGAUGUGAAAUCCCCAGGCUUAACCUGGGAACUGCAUCCGAUACUGGAUGGCUUGAAUCCGGGAGAGGGAUGCAGAAUUCCAGGUGUAGCGGUGAAAUGCGUAGAUAUCUGGAGGAAUACCGGUGGCGAAGGCGGCAUCCUGGACCGGCAUUGACGCUGAGUGAGCGAAAGCCAGGGGAGCAAACAGG